AUGCGUAGCCUCGCUUCAUCGAGCCAUGCAGCCUCGUCGUCUAGGGCAGCUCAAGAUGACGAGGAGGAGAACGACGACGAUGAUGAUGAUGCAGAGGAAGAGGAAGAAGAGGGCGCAGAAGAAGAGGGCGCCAAAGAAGAACAUGGUGAGGAAGAGGAAGAGCACGAUGAGGAUGAUGAUGAUGAGGAGGAGUACGAUGAUGACGACGGACCUCCACCAACUCAGCCAACCCAGCGUGAGAAGAGGAAUGUGCCGAAGAAGGACUGGAAGAGUCCAUCCCUGUUUCAGAAAGCACGUCCUGCGGCCCGCAAGAAGACGGCGGCCGAGAAGCGAUCCAAGGAUAAUGAGGACCGAAAGUCGAAGAGGGGAAGGAAUGACUGA
rnacentral:rRNA from 1 species